ensembl:lncRNA
GGCUGGGGGCCGGGGAUUCCCGGUGUGGGCUGAAGGGCUGGGGGUCCAUCCCCCUGGGGACUGAGGUACGGGAGACCCCGUGGUGGGGAAUGAAGGGAUGGGGACGGGGACGGAGGUAUUGGGGGCCCUCUGGUUGGGGAUGAGGUGUUGGGGUGGGGUCUGAGGUACUGGGGACCCUCCGGUUGGGGAUGAGGUGUUGGGUAUCCCUGGUUGGGGUGAGGGUGUGGGGCUACGGCUGAGGUAUUGGGGUCAGGGUGAGGGUGUGGGGGUGGGGACAGCGCCUGAGGUAUUUGGGACCCCCCCAGUCAGGGCUCAGAGGGAUAUGGGGCUGGACAUGGGGCAUUGGCAGCUCUGUGGAGGGGCUGCUUUGUGCCCAGAGUCACUGAGGCAGAGGGGGUUGUGCUGGUGCCCUUAGGCUGGGGGCAGAACCCCGUCACGUGCCCCUUGUGCGGCCUUGUGGUGGUGGCUUUGGUGCCCUGCAGAAACUCCAAGGUGCUGUGCCAUCCACCUUGGAGAAAUGAGAAGGCGGCAGCCUCCGACACACAGCUCGCUCUCUAAAACCCUGAUGGAAAAUUCCUCCUACUCUCCACAGCGUGACGGCAGGCACAGCAGGCAGAGAGGUGCACCACGUCCUUGAGGAAGAUGAGGCAUUUCUGCAGCUUGAGUCCCUCGAGAGGUGCAGUGGUAGAAUGGUGACAGCGGUGCCCUGCAGGCAGCAGUUGCAGGGCUGCAGGAGGUGCUCACACAGUGCCAGCAGGCGGGCUGAGCCCUGCUCCAUCAGCCUCAGGUUGCUGCACUGGAGGCGCAGGGACCCCAUCACAGCACCGCUGGGUUCGGAGUGUCCACCAGGGAGAAGCUGGCUGGCCCUGCGCCACAGGAAUGUGUGCCUCUUCCUCUUUGACAGUGGGAUCUGCACCUUUGGCUGCCCCAGGAGAGACUCAGGAGUGCUGGACUGGGAGGGAUCGCUGCAUCACGGUCCAAAGCUCAGCCACACCUUGCAGUCUCCUUCAGCAAACCCUGAGAUGCUGAUUUGAACCUGGACAAUAUUUUGGCCCACUGCUCGUAUCAGAAGACUGCUCUGCAGUGUCACUGCUCUGACGUUUGGAAAUGUUCUCCUGAUUUGCAGCCUAACUUUAUUCAUGGCCAGAUUGUAUUCAUGGCACUCGUGCCUAGGCUGUCCGCUAGCUCUUUUCCUUCUUGUAUUUAAGCUGAUGUUAUCUGCUUUUGCUUACCAAUUUGCCUGCUGGCUGGAAUUAUGCAUGGAAAAGAAGUUUCCCAUGCCCUCCAUGUGGUUGUUUUAACCUCUCUAAAGGAGCUAAAUAAUUAUUCUUCAUCGAAGGGUGAUUGAGAGCAGGGCUCAUGGUAUAACAGCACCAUUUAUUCGUAAAGGGAUAUUUACACCCUCAGUGUAAAGAAUGCUUUGAAACUGUUUUAUUUUUUUUUUAAUGGAGAUCCAUUAAAAGUGUUUAUAACGUAUCCCAUGCUCUGCUCUUGUUUUUGUAAGGCCCUGUGCAACAAGGAGGGAGCAGGUGAGCUCAAAGGCUGCAAUGUGAAACCGUGCUUUGGAGGAACAGAAAUGAAUCACUGUUCAGAUUGCAGUGGAAUCACCUGUAUGCGUAGUGGUGCCAGGUACAGGAGUCUGGAGGGGGUGAGGGAAGGGGAGAGGGGAUUUUCUAAGGCUGGCAUGGUUUCAAUUUUAGUUAUUGUGGGUGUGAGCAAAACAUCAUCCAGCAACGGAUGCAGGCUUAGCAAAGCAUCAUUUUCCACUAUGGUACAAAAAGCUGAGAUUGCCCUGGUAUCUUCUGUAAGACUAAAAUCCCAGUCCUCCUCAAUUAAAUCAUCAUUUUAAGGGUGCUUAAAAAAGCAGCCUUCUUCCUCCUUCCCUUCCUGCCAUCCCUUCCACCCACUCGUGCUGUUCUGGGCAUGCUGUGCAGUGCAAAUGCUUCUGCUGUCACUGUACAACAGGUUGGAGAGCUGAUCUAACUGAGGAAUGAAGCUACUUUUUAAAUAUUCUUUUCCUCCUGCCCUGAUCAGCUCUCUGGUGAGUUCAUGCCCCACACAUCUCCAUGUAGGUGCAGUGCAGGGUGCAGAGCAGGGGCUUCUCAUCCAGCACAUGGACCAUCUCCUUGGUGAGUGCUCAUCAGAUUGCUCUGCCAACACUGGCAGCACUCUGUUGGUUAUAAAGCUGGACUUUGCAAUGGCUGUGCCACAGCUUUUGG